CUCAGUUCGGAUUGGAGUCUGCAACCCGACUCCAUGAAGCUGGAUUCGCUAGUAAUCGCGCAUCAGCCACGGCGCGGUGAAUACGUUCCCGGGCCUUGUACACACCGCCCGUCAAGCCAUGGAAGCCGGGAGUGCCUGAAGUGUGCAACCGCAAGGAGCGCCCUAAGGUAAAACCGGUGACUGGGGCUAAGUCGUAACAAGGUACC
rnacentral:rRNA from 1 species